AAAUCCUUUUUAGACUGUCCAUCAAGCUGCGAAUGUAAGGAGUUUGGUGAAGUAUACGACAAGAGGAUUCUGCUUAUUGGCAAAAAGCUGCUGGCUGUACCAAGCUCUCUUCCUUCAAAUACUGGAGCAGUGUUUUUACGCAAUAAUUGGAUCUCGCAACUUCACGAGAGGGAAUUUUCAGACCUUACAAGACUAGAGUAUAUUGACCUUAGCUUCAAUAAUCUGUUCCACUUAGAUGAAGAAUGUUUUCACAACGUGUCUUCUGUCAC